AUGUGAAAUUUUUGUUGAUGCUCAAAAUGGUUGGGCCAAGAUUGAGUCCAACUUAGUGAUGAGGUGUGAUGAAUGAUGGGUGAAGGUUUGGACCUUCAGCAUGUAUGUGAGGACUUGGCCAAUUUAUGAGUAUACAAAAGACAAGAUAUAUGUGGUUCACCCUUAAUGAAUGGGCUACGUCCACA